CUGGACAGAUAGACAUCUGUCACCAGGAGCACAGGUUGGGGAAGGGUGUCUUACUCCAGGCCAUAUGAUGACAGAGGAAGACAAGGUGUGAGGCCACAGACUUCCAAUCAGGAUUUCCUUGAGCCAAGUGCCAAGGCCAGGGUAGGAAAUGCAGCCUGACUACAGGGUCUGCUGUGUGUGGCAUCUGUGUUCUGACUAACUGCCCAGGCAGCAAGGACAGUAAAAGCACAGCAAAGGGACACAAAGCUUCCCAGAAGGAAGCCUGUCUCACUUCCUUAGCUGCUGGAGGACUGUGUUUCCCUGGCCAGUCUUGCCCAGAGCCCACAAGCAACUUGAGCUCAGAGACUAAGUUCUGGGUCUGCAGUACUCAUCAGGGUUGAGUACCCGGCAGGCAUGCGCAGGAGUGCAGAUAUAGCUACUGACUCGUUAGACAAGUAUUCUAAGAUUGCAGUCCUCGGAAGAUCAUGGACAAGACGACAAGCAAAUACACACGGAAUAGCAAGGAACACUCGCAGGUGGAAAAGAUCCAGCCGUUCUCCGGGAAGGCACCAAAGCAAGAACUCGAGGCAACUGCUCACAGUGCAGAGUCAGGAAGCAGGGAGGAUGCUGGUGCUGGACUUGCCUUCUCCUUUUCUUUAAUCUGCCCAUCCCUCCAGCCCCACACCUAUGGGACGGUGCUGCCACAUUCAAGGAGGAAAGGACCUCACUCCUGAUGUCUCCCCUCUUAGUCAUUUCCUGCCUGCUGGCCCCAUCCCUCUGUGCCUGGACUGUGAGCCCCAGCUGUCUCUGCGUGGAACUCCGGCUUGUCUCUCCAGCAGGAGGACCUGCCUCCAUUGUCCUGAGCUGUGUCUUCCUUGUCAGAACAGGCAUCCGUAAUGUCUUACGUAACGCACCAGUGUCUUCCCCAUUCCACAGAGAGACAGUUCCAGAUGAUUCAUUUACACGGAUAUAGAUGGCAACCUUGGGGCCCACAGAAGCAACCUAGCUCAUCUACUGUAAUGACACUAGGAGCCCCAGCCCUUCAGACCCUUAUACCCGGGGGGCCUGACCUGUGGUGAGAGGCGCUGGGUCCUGAGGAAGAAGCCAAGGAGGCAGCCCACGAUGACAGACAUCACUGACAGGAUGAGUAGCCCGUUGUGCCUACACACUGCCCGUCCCCGGGCCAGGACAGCACCCAGCGCCAUGCUGAGCCCAGCCGGUUGGCACCAUUCCAUGCGCUGUAGGAUGUGGCCCAGGUCUGGGCUGGAGGGACGAGCUUCUCUACUCACAGACCAGCAGAGUCCCAAGCACCUACUGCCAGUCUUGCGGCCAUGGACUGUGCAGCCACCCGGAGGGAAACCACAAUCCUAUUACCAGCGGCAUCAUUAGGAGCCCGGAGCAGAUUAGGGCCUGGGAAAUUAGAGCAGGCCACAUGGCCCAAGUGUCCAGUCCUCGGGGCCAAAUACUCCUCCUGAAGAGGGCAGGGGACCAGACACCAUGAGAGGUACAUCAUCCCACCUCGUUCCAGAAAGAUGUGAAAACCUGGCAGUGAGGCACCAGUGGCUGCCAACCUCAGUAAGUGUUGGAUGGGCAUCUGACGGCUGUCCUAGAAGCAUGCUGUUGUAUUAGCAUGCUUCCUGCUAACGUCAGCCCCCAGAAGUCAGUGCCGUGAAUGUGUCACUGCCAGUGCACAAUUAGAAGCAUCUGUGGGAGGAGAGAAUGCUGUGUGCCAGGCUUGCCCUGGGUGCUACUGCCAUCCCCACCACCCUGGGACUGGGUUCCAGCCUCCAUGUCAUUGAGGGAGGGACUGAGACUCCGAGAGCCUGAGUCUCUCGGCACAGUCACUGAGCUGGCACUCAGCAGAGUGGGGUCAGGUAGCACUGUGAGGAACUUAGACGAGUUCAGUUAUCCUGACCAGCCUAUUGUUAACAGAAAAUGAAUAAACUUUCUUUUGGGAUGCUUCCAGCCCAGGACCACCCACCCCACAUCCCUCAAGAACUAUCAUCUAUUUAUUUAUUUUAAAAGUGUUUUAUUUAUUUUUUAUACAUAUAUACAAUGUAUCUUGAUCAUAUCUGAAUAAAAAAGAAAUAAAAAGGAGGACAUGACUACUUCUA